AAGCGAGGACGACCUCCCCCAUUUGGGCAACCACUCGGGACGACCCGA
rnacentral:ncRNA from 1 species